rnacentral:misc_RNA from 1 species
GUAGGUGAACCUGCGGAAGGAUCAUUAAAAGAUUGACCCCAAGCCGGAAACGGUAAAGGGUACACCUUCAAACCACCGUGAACUUUCCUUGUUGCUUCCGUAGGGCAGCGACUUUAUGUCGCCCGACUGCCAACGCGGUCGGAGAACCUGCGGUAAGACCAUAAUCCAACUCUUGUUGUGUGUGCCUGUCUGAACAUAAGCAAAUUCUUAAAACUUUCAACAACGGAUCUCUUGGUUCUC